ACCAUAAAAAAAUCAUACUAGGUCUAUUUCAUCAAUUACAUAUAUUUGAUUAUUUAAGUUAAUAUAUUUAAUAUAUAACAUUUCUAAAAAAUCUUAUAAAUUAUAUAGAUAUUAAUAAAUAAAUUUUAACUGUAAAUUUAAAUUUUAUUUCUACUUAUAACAAGAUAUGUUGGAAAAAAUCUAACAAAACCUUAAUAAUUUUUUUUUUGACAGCAAAAAGCAUUUACAGCCUCAUGCAGACUCUGUAAAUCAAAGUGGCAACUCUGCAUCCAUGUGUACGAUGAACGACGGUUGUAUCCAAGCACUGCGUGCCAACCGAUCCACCAUUGUAUUCUCCGUCCUAGAAACAUGAACGAUUUCCGAGUUGGUGAAGCUUCUUCUCAAAUGCUUAAUAUCCUCCAGAUUAAUGCCUCCAUCUCUACAUGAAGAGGUGAGAGACUUGCCCUUACAUUCCUUGCCCAUAAUAGACCCUCAAACCCCGGAAGAGUACUGAGCCAGCGUUGUCCUGAGAACGAAUCUUUAUCUUUCCAAGAACCAUCCGUAAAACACCAUCUUCCUGUGGUCUCUAUGUUUGAUCUGUUUUGUACUUCAGGUGCCACCCUUGGUGUAUUGAUAAUAUGUGCCUUAGUCCAAAGUGUUGAUUCCAAUUCUGCUAGAUUAACCGUCUCUCUCGGAUCAAUAUCUAUAUUGCUGAAAACUUUAUUAUUCAUACCCUUCUAAAUGUACCAUAAUAUCCAUGCAAACUGAUGAUCAUCCAUUUUCGGGUUGAUUCUCCAAAAUAAGUGAUCCAUAUUAGCGAAUAGAGAGCCAGUAGGAAAAUAGUUUGGAUUUGAUGGAAUCUUAGAUAAUGUCAACACUUGUCGUGCCGGCGGACACUCAAAGAAAACAUGAUUUAUUGA